AUUGAACGCUGGCGGCAUGCCUUACACAUGCAAGUCGAACGGCAGCACGGGUGCUUGCACCUGGUGGCGAGUGGCGAACGGGUGAGUAAUACAUCGGAACAUGUCCUGUAGUGGGGGAUAGCCCGGCGAAAGCCGGAUUAAUACCGCAUACGAUCUACGGAUGAAAGCGGGGGACCUUCGGGCCUCGCGCUAUAGGGUUGGCCGAUGGCUGAUUAGCUAGUUGGUGGGGUAAAGGCCUACCAAGGCGACGAUCAGUAGCUGGUCUGAGAGGACGACCAGCCAGACUGGGACUGAGACACGGCCCAGACUCCUACGGGAGGCAGCAGUGGGGAAUUUUGGACAAUGGGCGAAAGCCUGAUCCAGCAAUGCCGAGUGUGUGAAGAAGGCCUUCGGGUUGUAAAGCACUUUUGUCCGGAAAGAAAUCCUUGGCCCUAAUACGGUCGGGGGAUGACGGUACCGGAAGAAUAAGCACCGGCUAACUACGUG
rnacentral:rRNA from 1 species